rnacentral:rRNA from 1 species
CCUUAACCUGCUAAAUAGUGAAGGCAACGAUGAGUUGGAUGGCACUUCUUAGAGGGACAGACUACGAUUAGUGGUCGGAAGUUUGAGGCAAUAACAGGUCUGUGAUGCCCUUAGAUGUUCUGGGCUGCACGCGCGCUACACUGACAAAGGCAGCAAGUAUAGAACCUUGGCCGAAAGGUCUGGGGAAUCUUUUGAAACUUUGUCGUGCUGGGGAUAGACCAUUGCAAUUAUUGGUCUUCAACGAGGAAUUCCUAGUAAGCGCAUGUCAUUAGCAUGCGUUGAUUACGUCCCUGCCCUUUGUACACACCGCCCGUCGCUACUACCGAUUGAAUGGCUUAGUGAGGCCUUUGGAUUGAUCCUACCGGAAGGAAGAGGUUGAGAAGAUGGACAAACUUGGUCAUUUAGAGGAAGUAAAAGUCG